rnacentral:rRNA from 1 species
AGCCGGUCUGUCGAUUGACUCGGGGCACAGAGCGACACGGAUUGGGAAGGCGAGUAGACACUGGCACCUACGCACUCUAGGCCUCAGCCUGCGGGCCCCCCAUUCGGCCCUUCUUGAAACAUGUACUAAGGCCUCUGACAUGUGUGCGAGUCAACAGGCAAUAAACUCGUGCGACACAAGGAAGCUAAUUUAUAGGAUCCCCUCAUGGGUGCACCGCCGACCGACCUUGAUCUUCUAAGAAGGUUCAAGUGCGAGCAUACCUGUUGGGAUACGAAAGAUGGUGAACUAUGCCUAAGUGGGGCGAAGCCAGAGGAAACUCUGGUGAAGGCCCGAAGCGAUUCUGACAUGCAAAUCAUUCGUCUCAGUUGGGCACAGGGCGAAUCAAACUGUCGAGUAGUUAGUUCCCCUCUGAAGUUUCCCUCAGGAUAGCUGGAGCUCAUACGCAAGUUCUAUCAAGUAAAGCUAAUGAUUAGAGGCAUUUGGAGUGCAAUGCCCUCAUUUUAUUCUCAAACUCUCAAUAGGUAGGAUGGCGUGGCUGCUUUGCUAAGCUGCACUACGGAAUCGAGUAAGCAGAACAGGCGAUACAAGAUAAACCAAAAGUUGGGUUACGAUACCUAAUUUUGCGCUAACUUAGAUCCCACAAAGGGUGUUGGUUAACUGAGACAGCAGUACGAUGGUCAUGGUGGACGAAAUCCAUUAAGGAGUGUGUAACAACUUACCUACCGAAUCAACCAGCCCUGAAAAUAGAUGGCGCUGAAGCGCGUGACCUAUACCCAGUAUUAGGGGCAAGUGCCAGGCCCCGAUGAGUAGGAGGGUGCAGCAGUCGUUAGAAAACCUGUGGCACGAGCCAGGGAGGAGCGGCUGUCGGUGCAAAUCUUGGUGGUAGUAGCAAAUAUUCAAAUAAGAACUUUGAAGGCCAAAGAGGGGAAAGGUUCUAUGUGAGAGACACUUGCACAUUGGUCAGUCAAUCCUAAGAGACAGGGGAAGUUCGUCCGACAGUGCCUUUCGUGUGAUCUUUGGAAGGGAAUCGGGUUUAAAUUUCGAACCAGGAUGCGGCAGUUGACAGUAAUGUUAGGGAGUCCGGACACUCACGGGAGCCUCGAGAAGAGUUAUCUUUUCUUUUUAACAGCCUACCCACCCUAGAAACGACUCAAUUAGACGUAGGGUCUAGCGGCUAGAAGAGCACCACACGUCACAUGGUGUCUGGUGCGCCCUCAGCGGCCCUUAAAAAUCCGGAGGAUCGGGUGCUGACCAUGCUGGGUCAUACUCAUAACCGCAUCAGGUCUCUAAGGUGACUAACCUGUUGCCGAUGGAACCAUGUAUGUAAAGGAAGUCAGCAAAAUGGAUCUCGAACCCAUCUGCUGUCAACAGAUUGCUUGAGCUACUCCCACAGUGAGAGCAGGUUGUUGCGUGCCAGCCGGGGGACAGAUUGGGAACGACCCCUUCAAGGACCUUCCCUGGACGUCAAACAAUCAACUCAAAAUUUGUAUGGACAAUGAAAAUCUGAUUGUUUAAUUAAAACAAAGUAUUUCGAUGGUCCAGCAGAUGUUAGCAGAAUGUGAUUUCUGCCCAGUGCUCUGAAUGUCAAGGUAAAGAAAUUCAACCAAGCGCGGGUAAAGGGCGGGAGUAGCUAUGACUCUCUUAAGGUAGCCAAAUGUCUCGUCAUCUAAUUAAUGACGCGCAUGAAUGUAUUAGCAAGAUUCCCACUGUCCUUGUGCACUAUCCAGUGAAACCACAACCAAGGGAAUGGGCUUGGCAGAGUCAACGUGGAAAGAAGCCCUGUUGAGCUUAACUCUAGUCCGACUUUGUGAAAUGGCUUGAGAGGUGUAGCUUAAGUGGGAGCUUUGGCGCAAGUGAAAUACCACUACUUUAAACGUUAUUUUACUUACUCUAUGAGUUAGAGCUGGGGCAUCGCCUCUCAUUCAGACCUAAGGCUCGCUUUGCAGGCCGAUCCGGGGGGAGGACAUUGUCAAGUGGGGAGAUUGGCUGGGGUUGCACAUCUAUUAAAAGAUAACGUAAGUGUCUAAGAUUAGCUUAACAAGAAUAGAAAUCUCGUGUGAAAUAGAAGGGUAAAAGCUCAUUUGAUUCUAAUUUUCAGUAUGAAUAUGAACCGUGAAAAUGUGGCCUAACGAUCCUUUCGACCUUCAGAAUUUAAAGGUAGAAGUAUCAGAAAAGUUACCACAGGGAUAACUGGAUUGUGGCAGCCAAGCGUUCAUAGCAACGUUGUUAUUGAUCCUUCGAUGUUGUCUCUUCCUAUCAUUGCGAAGUAGAAUUCACCAAGUGUUGGAUUGUUCACCCACUAAUAGGGAACAUGAGCUGGGUUUAGACCGUUAUGAGAUAGGUUAGUUUUACCCUACUGAUGACAGUGUCACGAUGGUAAUUCAACCUACUACGAGAGGAACUAUUCAUUCGCACAAUUGGUCAUCGUGCUUGUAUGAAAA